rnacentral:rRNA from 1 species
UUGAUCCUGGCUCAGAAUCAACGCUGGCGGCGUGCCUCAGACAUGCAAGUCGAACGCGAAAGUUCCCUUCGGGGGGCGAGUAGAGUGGCGCACGGGUGAUUAACACGUAGGUAAUCUACCUUUGGGUGGGGAAUAACUCAGGGAAACUUUAGCUAAUACCGCAUAAUGCAGCGGCUCGACAUCGAGACAGUUGUUAAAGUGGGGGACCGGAGCAAUCCGACCUCGCGCCUGAAGAGGAGCCUGCGGCAGUUUAGCUAGUUGGUAGGGUAAUGGCCUACCAAGGCAACGAUCUGUAACCGUCCUGAGAGGGCGGUCGGUCACACUGACACUGACAUACGGGUCAGACUCCUACGGGAGGCAGCAGUCGGGAAUUUUGGGCAAUGGGCGAAAGCCUGACCCUGCAACGCCGCGUGAAGGAUGAAAUUUUUCGGAAUGUAAACUUCGCAAGAUUGGGAAGAAUAAGUAGGGGACAAUACCCCCUAUGAUGACGGUACCAUUUUUAAGCUCCGGCUAACUCCGUGCCAGCAGCCGCGGUAU